rnacentral:rRNA from 1 species
UACAGAGGGUGCAAGCGUUAAUCGGAAUUACUGGGCGUAAAGCGUGCGCAGGCGGUUUUGUAAGCCAGGUGUGAAAUCCCCGGGCUCAACCUGGGAAUGGCAUUUGGGACUGCAAGGCUGGAGUGCGGCAGAGGAGACUGGAAUUCCUGGUGUAGCAGUGAAAUGCGUAGAUAUCAGGAGGAAUACCGAUGGCGAAGGCAGGUCUCUGGGCUGACACUGACGCUCAUGCACGAAAGCGUGGGGAGCAAACAGG